rnacentral:misc_RNA from 1 species
GUGAAUCAUCGAAUUUUUGAACGCAAAUUGCACUCCCUGGUAUUCCGGGGAGUAUGCCUGUUUGAGGGUCGUUAGUAUAAAAAAUCGAUGCGUCGCGCUUGUUGUUAAGUGUGAUCGCGUCGUGGUGAAGCGGUCUUUCGAAUGUUGAUGCAGGUCAAAGUGGCUUGGAGUGCAUCCAUCCGGGACGAUUGAAUCAGAUUUAGUAUCGAUUUUGAU